ACCUUCGGGAGGACGUUCACCACGGAGUGAUUCAUGACAGGGGUGAAGUCGUAACAAGGUAGCCCUAGGGGAACCUGGGGCUGGAUCACCUCCUUAUACGA
rnacentral:rRNA from 1 species